AGAGGGGUGCAAGCGUUAAUCGGAGUGACUGGGCGUAAAGGGCGUGUAGGGUGGAUAGAUAAGUUAAGUGUGAAAGCCCUGGGCUUAACCUGGGAAAGACGGUUAAAACUGUUUAUCUUGAGUCUAGGAGAGGGAAGUAGAAUUUCCGGUGUAGCGGUGAAAUGCGUAGAUAUCGGAAGGAAUACCAGUUGCGAAGGCGACUUUCUGGCCAGAGACUGACACUGAAACGCGAAAGCGUGGGUAGCGAACAGGAUUAGAUACCCUGGUAGUCCACGCUGUAAACGAUGAGUACUAGAUGUUGGUGGUGUUAAGCCACGAGUAUCGAAGCAAACGCGCUAAGUACUCCGCCUGGGGAUUACGAUCGCAAAGAUUAA
rnacentral:rRNA from 1 species